rnacentral:ncRNA from 1 species
AUAAAUAAAUUUUUUAUGGUUUUGAUAAUUUAUUUAAAGUUUAUUUUACAUAUAAAUUUUAGUAUUAAUUUUACUUUAUUUUAAUAAUAAUUUAAUUAAUUUGUAGUAAUUAAUAUUAAACAAUUUAAGUAAUUAAGAUUUAGUAAUAUUUAAUAUUAAUAACAAAUUUUGUGCCAGCAGUUGCGGUUAAACAAAAGUUAAAUUUAAAUUUUAUUAGUUAUUAAUAAAUAAUUAAAUUUAAAAUAAAUAAUUUAUUUAUUUUUUAAUAUAAAUAAUAUAAAUUUUAAAUUAUUAAGUGAAAUUUUAAUUUAAUUAAAUAUUAUUUUUAAUUUAUGAUUUAAAAAAUUUUAUAAAAAACUAGGAUUAGAUACCCUAUUAUUAAAAUUUAAAUUAGUAAUACUAAAAUAGUAAGUAAUUAUUUAUUGAAACUUAAAUAAUUUGGCGGUAUUUUAGUUCAUUUAGAGGAAUCUGUUUAAUAAUUGAUAAUCCACGAAUAAAUUUACUUAAUUUUUUAUUUUGUAUAUCGUUGUUAAAAAAAUAUUUUUUAAUAAUAAUAAUAUUUAAAAAUUUUAAUUAAAAAUUAAAUCAGAUCAAGAUGCAGAUUAUAAUUAAGAAUAUAAUGGAUUACAAUAAAUUUAUUUAUAUGAAUAUUAAUUUGUAAAAUUUAAUUGAAGGUGGAUUUAAAUGUAAUUUUAUUUAGUUUAAUAAAAUGAUUGAAAAUUAAGAUAUGUACAUAUUGCCCGUCGCUUUCAUAUGAAUAAAAGUUGGAAUAAGUCGUAACAAAGUAGAGGUACUGGAAAGUGUUUCUAGAAAGAA